GCCGGUGUGGCUCAGUGGAUAGAGCAUCAGCCUGUGGACUGAAGGGUCCUGGGUUUGAAUCCGAUCAAGGGCA
rnacentral:tRNA from 1 species